GGUGCCCAUAGAAGCAUUGCAGGUGUGAGUAUUCUGUCACAUGUGCGUCUGCAGGUGGCAGAGAGGAGAGAGGCUACACCUUUGCUCAGUGUUCUGACCCGUGAACACCUGACUGGGUGUAGCCUGACACU
ensembl:snoRNA Gm25916 small nucleolar RNA SNORA17